AAUGGUGGACUUAUGCUUAGCAUGAUAUAGGAAGUACGAUCUUGUGAAGUUUACGACUGGGAUCCACCAUUAGCGGAGUCUAGUGAGAGUACAAGGUGGUCAGGAAAUAUCUUUGGAGACUUCAGCAGCCUGAUAUUGUUGAUCUAGUGACUUCGUGUAUCUUCAGAUGCAGUUAUCAGUGCUCAUUACAUUUACAAACUCUGGGUAAAUUUAGGGGAAUCUUGACUGUACAGUAUAAGAUUCUCUCUUGGUCUUCAUCCAUUAUUUGAAUUCCUGAGGGUGAGUAAUCUUGGCAUUUUUUUGGAACGGCCAUGCUUGCUUAAUAAAAGCCUUGAGUUUUUUUGUCGGCAUAGAGAUAAAGGUGCAUCCAAGAUCAGGAUUGUGUGUUUUAGUGUAUUGGACUCAAAGAAAAGGUGGAUUGGAUCACAAGGCUGUCCGAUUCUAUUGCUAAGGUCAUCAAACAGGGUGUCUGAAAUUAAAAAGAUAUCUUUGAGUGGUGCCUAGCUAAUUUUGGGCUAUAUAGUGUUGAUAAUUGUUUGAUUUGUAAAUAUGUAAUUUUAUUCUUUGUAGUUUUGUUUGUGGAGUGGAGUGGAGUGGAGUGGAGUGGAGGGAUGUUUGUCUCCUUCCACUUAGUUGCGGUUGUUGUAAAAUAGCCGUUGAGGUGAGGAACUUGCUUCUUAUAUUAUCUGUUUUGUUUUAUGUUUUUGAUUAAACAUAUCAAUUAUUGGCUUCUUUGACCAUUCGUGUGUACCGUCAUACCGGGCCAGAAAGUCUGGAAGAAACUAGAUGGCUAUUCUAUGGA